rnacentral:rRNA from 1 species
CCUACGGGAGGCAGCAGUGGGGAAUAUUGGACAAUGGGCGCAAGCCUGAUCCAGCCAUGCCGCGUGAGUGAUGAAGGCCCUAGGGUUGUAAAGCUCUUUUGUGCGGGAAGAUAAUGACGCUACCGCAAGAAUAAGCCCCGGCUAACUUCGUGUAAUGGCGCCGACGACC